rnacentral:rRNA from 1 species
GGUUACUGCUAUCGAGGUUCGACUAAGCCAUGCGAGUCGAAUGUAGCAAUACAUGGCGAACUGCUCAGUAACACGUGGACAACCUGCCCUUAGGUUGGGUAUAAACCCGGGAAACUGGGUAUAAUACCCGAUAGGUCUCGAUUGCUGGAAUGCAUCGAGAUUUAAAGCUCCGGCGCCUAAGGAUGGGUCUGCGGCCUAUCAGGUAGUAGUGGGUGUAGCGUACCUACUAGCCUACGACGGGUACGGGUUGUGAGAGCAAGAGCCCGGAGAUGGAUUCUGAGACACCAAUCCAGGCCCUACGGGGUGCAACAGGCGCGAAAACUUUACAAUGCUGGCAACAGCGAUUAGGGAACCUCGAGUGCCAAGUUACAAAUCUGGCUGUCAAGAUGCCUAAAAAGCAUUUCAUAGCACGGGCCGGGCAAGACCGGUGCCAGCCGCCGCGGUAACACCGGCGGCUCGAGUGGUAACCGUUAUUAUUGGGUCUAAAGGGUCUGUAGCCGGCCGGAUAAGUCUCUUGAGAAAUCUGGCAGCUUAACUGUCAGGCUUUCAUGAGAUACUGUCUGGCUCGAAGCCUGGAGAGGUGAGAAGUACUUCACGGGUAUGGGUGAAAUCUUGUAAUCCUUGAAUGACCACCAGUGGCGAAGGCGUCUCACCAGAACGGACCUGACGGCCAGGGACGAAA